rnacentral:lncRNA from 12 species
UUGAAUUCAGGCUGGUGACUCAGCCCUGUGGCAUCCAGAAAUAGUUUUCUGCUUCAAAAUAAAAUGUGUGUCAGCAACAGGUUCUUCCAUCUGAGAAGAGGCCAGGCCACUGCACUGCAUCGGUCACUGCAGCAGCGGUGGGUCAAGGACAGACUUUGCCAUCACUCCCAGGGAAGCCUAAAGCAGUUUAGAAGAGAGAACAUCACAUUCAAAAGCUAGAAGAUUAACGCAUCACCAGCUCUCUUUUCAUAACUUAGAGGAGAUAUUUU